ensembl:lncRNA
CUCGGUCCUCCAGCGCCUGUUUGUUGUCCUCCUCCUCCGCAAACAUGUCAAUCGGCUCCGCUUGUGCAUGGAUGGAACCACCGACGUCACCACCACCGUCACCACCGUCACCGUCGUCACCGUCGCGGCGCCGCAGCGAUGUGCUGCUGUGACACGGGGUGACAUUGGGUGACAUCGGGGUGUUGUUAUGGGGUGACGUUGGGUGACACUGGGGUGUUGUUAUGGGGUGACGUUGGGUGACACUGGGGUGUUGUUAUGGGGUGAAAUCCAGGUGUUGUUAUGGGGUGACAUCGGGGUCUUGUUAAGGGGUGACAGUGGGUGACAUCGGGGUGUUGUUAUGGGGUGACAUCGGGUGAAAUCCGGGUGUUGUUAUGGGGUGACGUUGGGUGACAUCGGGGUGUUGUUAUGGGGUGACGUUGGGUGACACUGGGGUGUUAUGGGGUGCUAUGGGGUGACAUUCGGGUGAUACGGAGUGCUAUGGGGUGCUAUGGGGUGCUAUGGGGUGCCAUGGGGAGCCAUGGGGCGCUAUGGGGUGCCAUAGGAUGCUAUGGGGUGCCAUGGGCUGCCACAGGGUGGCAUGGGGAACUAUGAAGCGCUAUGGGGUGCUAUGGGGUGCCAUGGGCUGCCACAGGGUGCUAUGGGGCGCUAUGGGGUGCCAUGGGCUGCCACAGGGUGCUAUGGGGCACUAUGGGGUGCCAUGGGGCGCCAUGGUGUGCUAUGGGGUGACAUUCAGGUGAUAUGGAGUGCUAUGGAGCACUAUGGGGUGCCUGUGGGGUGCCAUAGGGCGCUAUGGGGCGCUAUGGGGUGCCAUGGGCUGCCACAGGGUGCUAUGGGGCGCUAUGGGGUGCCAUGGGGUGCCAUGGGGUGCUAUGGGGUGUUAUGGGGUGCUAUAGGAUGCUAUGGGGUAUCAUGGGGAGCCAUAGGGCACUAUGGGGAGCCAUGGGGUGCCACAGGAUGCUAUGGGGUUCCAUGGGGUGCCACAGGGCGCUAUGGGGCGCUGUGGGGUUCUAUGGGGCGCUAUGGGGUGCCAUGGGGAGCUAUGCGGUUUUAUGGGGUGCUAUAGGAUGCUAUGGGGUAUCAUGGGGAGCCAUAGGGCACUAUGGGGAGCCAUGGGGUGCCACAGGAUGCUAUGGGGUUCCAUGGGGUGCCACAGGGCGCUAUGGGGCGCUGUGGGGUUCUAUGGGGCGCCAUAGGGUGCCAUGGGGCGCUAUGGGGCGACAUUCAGGUGACAUGGAGUGCUAUGGGGCACUAUGGGGUGCCAUGGGGAGCCAUGGGGCGCUAUGGGGCACUAUGGGGCGCUAUGGGGCACUAUGGGGUGACAUUCAGGUGAUAUGGAGUGCUAUGGGGCGCUAUGGGGCGCUAUGGGGCGCUAUGGGGCGCUGUGGGGCGCUAUGGGGCGCUAUGGGGCGCUAUGGGGCGCUAUGGGGUUACCUGUUAGCGGCCGUCCCCCGCAGGGCGUUGAGUCGGAGCUGCAGCCUCUCCCUGCUGUCCCCAUAGACCCCGUGCUGCCCGUGGGCCACCAGCGCGUCCGCCGCCUCCACCAGCGCCUCCAGCUGCGCCCGCACCGCCGCCAUGGCGUCACCCGCACCCGCAACACCCGAACCGGCAACAGCCGGACCGCGGGAAUCGUCACCGCCAGAAACAACGCCGGGAUCACCGCCAGAAUCACCGCCAGAAUCAACACCGCAACCUGUGAGGGGGGGGUCAGCGUCGCUGUCACCCGACGGUGUCACCCGACGGUGUCACCCGGUGGGGGGUCAGCGUCGCUGUCACCCAAUGGUGUCACCCGAUGGUGUCACCCGAUGGUGUCAACCAAUGGUAUCAACCAAUGGUGUCACCCAAUGGUGUCGACCUGAUGGUGUCACCCAAUGGUGUCACCCUGAUGGUGUCAACCUGAUGGUGUCAACCUGAUGGCGUCACCUGAUGGUGUCAACCCUACCGUCACCCGCGUCACGCUGUCACCCUGUGUCACCCCUACCAUCGCAUCGUCACCCCCCACCGUCACCCCUACAGUCACACUGUCAGCCCUGGAACCACCAGCACCUGUGGGGGUCACCGUCACUGUCACCCGCUGGCGUCACUCCCACUGUCAGCCCUCAGUGUCACCCCUCCUGCCACCCUGUCACCCCUCCUGCCACCGUCACCCCUCCUGUCACCCCUCCUGUCACACUGUCAGCCCUGUCACCCCUCCUGCCAGCCUGUCACCCCUACUGUCACAGUCAGCCCUCACU